rnacentral:misc_RNA from 1 species
GAUGAAGAACGUAGCGAAUUGCGAUAAGUAAUGCGAAUUGCAGAAUUCCAGUGAGUCAUCGAAUCUUUGAACGCACAUUGCGCCCUUUGGUAUUCCGAAGGGCAUGCCUGUUCGAGCGUCAUUAUCACCCCUCAAGCCCUCGGCUUGGUGUUGGACGGUUUGGUGGAGGCCCCCUCGGGGGCUCCUGCCCCUCCCAAAGACAAUGACGGCGGCCUCGUUGGACCCCCGGUACACUGAGUUCUUCACGGGACACGUAUCGGACACAUGGGUUUACGGGACACGGUCUGCCUCCCCUCAGGGAGAAUCUUUCUAAGGUUGACCUCGGAUCAGGUAGGGAUACCCGCUGAACUUAAGCAUAUCAAUAAGCGGAGGA